CACGUAGGGGACGAGCGUUGUCCGGAUUCAUUGGGCGUAAAGCGCGCGUAGGCGGCUCGGAAAGUCGGUCGUGAAAUGCCGGGGCUCAACCCCGGGACUGCGUCCGAUACUCUCGAGCUGGAGGCAGGUAGGGGAGGUCGGAAUUCCUGGUGUAGCGGUGAAAUGCGUAGAGAUCAGGAGGAACACCUGUGGUGUAGACAGCUUACUGGACGGUGACUGACGCUGAGGCACGAAAGCGUGGGUAGCAAACAGG
rnacentral:rRNA from 1 species